UGCCCCAUGGCUAAGAUGGUUAAAGCGUCCGACUGUUAUGUGAGCGGUCAUCGGAAGGUCCUGAGUUCGAUCCUCAGUGGGGCAG